rnacentral:rRNA from 1 species
GACGAACGCUGGCGGCGUGCUUAACACAUGCAAGUCGAACGGAAAGGCCCUGCUUUUGUGGGGUGCUCGAGUGGCGAACGGGUGAGUAACACGUGAGUAACCUGCCCUUGACUUUGGGAUAACUUCAGGAAACUGGGGCUAAUACCGGAUAGGAGCUCCUGCUGCAUGGUGGGGGUGGGAAAGUUUCGGCGGUUGGGGAUGGACUCGCGGCUUAUCAGCUUGUUGGUGGGGUAGUGGCUUACCAAGGCUUUGACGGGUAGCCGGCCUGAGAGGGUGAGCGGCCACAUUGGGCCUGAGAUACGGCCCGGACUCCUACGGGAGGCAGCAGUGGGGAAUGUUGCACAAUGGGCGGAAGCCUGAUGCAGCAACGCCGCGUGCGGGAUGACGGCCUUCGGGUUGUAAACCGCUUUCGCCUGUGACGAAGCGUGAGUGACGGUAAUGGGUAAAGAAGCACCGGCUAACUACGUG